UACGUAGGGUGCGAGCGUUGUCCGGAAUUAUUGGGCGUAAAGGGCUCGUAGGCGGUUUGUCGCGUCGGGAGUGAAAACGCCGUGCUUAACACGGCGCUUGCUUUCGAUACGGGCGGACUAGAGUUCGGUAGGGGAGACUGGAAUUCCUGGUGUAGCGGUGAAAUGCGCAGAUAUCAGGAGGAACACCGAUGGCGAAGGCAGCUCGCUGGGACGGUACUGACGCUGAGGCGCGAAAGCGUGGGGAGCAAACAGG
rnacentral:rRNA from 1 species